GAUGAAGAACGUAGCGAAAUGCGAUACGUAAUGUGAAUUGCAGAAUUCAGUGAAUCAUCGAAUCUUUGAACGCAUAUUGCGCUCUCUGGUAUUCCGGAGAGCAUGCUUGUUUGAGUAUCAGUAAACACCUCAACUUCCAUAUCUUUUUUGAAAUGGGAGUUGGACUUGAGUGUUCCCAACGCUUUUCCUCACCGAAAAGUGGCGGGUUACUUGAAAUGCAGGUGCAGCUGGACUUUUCUCUGAGCUAUAAGCAUAUCUAUUUAGUCUGCCUAAAAACAGAUUAUUACCUUUGCUGCAGCUAACAUAAAGGAGAUUAGUUCUUGUGCUGACUGAUGCAGGAUUCACAAAGACAGGCUUCGGCCGACUUUGUAAACUCGAUCUCAAAUCAAGUAAGACUACCCGCUGAACUUAAGCAUAUCAAUAAGCGGAGGA
rnacentral:misc_RNA from 1 species